rnacentral:rRNA from 1 species
UACAGAGGUCUCGAGCGUUGUUCGGAUUCAUUGGGCGUAAAGGGUGCGUAGGUGGCUAGGUAAGUCGGAUGUGAAAUCCCGGGGCUCAACCCCGGAACUGCAUUCGAUACUGCCUGGCUAGAGUACUGGAGAGGAGAUUGGAAUUUACGGUGUAGCAGUGAAAUGCGCAGAUAUCAGGAGGAACACCCGUAGCGAAGGCGGCACUCUGGGCCGAUACUGACACUGAGGAGCGAAAGCGUGGGGAGCGAACAGG